rnacentral:lncRNA from 1 species
ACCUACUGCAGGGGCAUCGUACUCAUCGCCAAGCAGGAUUUCUGGAGCAGAGUAUGCAAGAGACCCGCAGCUCGUGGUGAGUUUCUUUCCAGGCUGAAAUUUGUUGCUGAAGCCAAAGUCUGUCAACUUCACAAGACCUUGUUUUUCAAAAAAGACUACAUUCUCUGGUUUCAAGUCUCUGUGGACCACAUGGAGUUUAUGGCAAUAAGAUAUAGCAUGAACUAUCUGAGCAAAGUACUUCUUGGCCAAGUCUUCAUUAAGACCCUCCUCGUGCUUCAUUAUAUAAUCAAACAUAUCUCCUCCAUCUCCAAGUUCUAGAAUGAGAUAAAGUUUGGUCUGGGUGUCUAUGACUUCAUAGAGACGCACAAUGUUGGGGUGCUGCACUAGUUUCAUGCACCUCACUUCCUGGAAGAGAUGACCAGUGGCUAGAGUGUCCAGCUUCGUCUUGUCAAUGACUUUCACUGCCACCUUCUCACCUGUGAAGACAUGCCUGGACAUAUAAAAAUUAAAUCAAAUCCAGGCGGCACAGCACAGCACAGGAAGAAGACAGAGACCACAGGAAGACCACAAUGCCCUUUAGCCCAUGGCACAAGUGGACCACAGACACUCCCUGUCUCCAAGCCACUCAGCACAAUGGAGGACGAGGAUCCUGCUCGGCCUGCCUAUACCCCUGGACAAGUUCACCAAGCUCCCACUACAGCAGCAGAGGAGAGGAACCCGCAUAAGACACUCCUAAGCAAGGCAGAAAUGCAUUGUGAUGCCAGCAACAGGCAGCACACGAAACACCUUCAUGUCUGCCACCAAAGAGUAAACAAAACUGUCACUAUGAGCAAAGCAGCUGCACUGUUUCCCAUCCCGAGCACAGUAAGGAGUCCUUUCCAAAGUGGGCUUAUAGGCUUUCCACCAACCUGAAACACAACACAAAUAAGCAAAAGGCUUGAGUAAUUCUGGUAGGUCAAAGCAACUCACAGUCCCACUAAAGGUGCUGAGUGUCUGGGCAGUCAGUGAGCCUAAGUUCAGGUGUGCUUGAAAGAAAGUACAAGGUGUGGGAGAGCAGACACAAAAGAUGACGUGUGGAGAGAAAGGCAAGUCUGCUGGAGUGAGAGCCAAGAGGACCCCACAGCCAUUCGCACAGUCUCCCAUUCACUGGCGGGUAAACUGCAGCUUACCAGCCAGCCUGCCUGCCUGCCAGACCCUUCAGCCCCAAGUGGGCCUUAGCAGCUCCUCCCACUAGCCCUGCCUGCUUCUCUCUCCAACAGCCAUUCCUGCAGUUUCUCUAUCAAGGCAGCAUGGUAGUUAAGCACUGGUUCUGAAAGCUAUCCUUCAUAUGAGUCCAGACCAUCAAUCACAAGCCACAGGUCCUCAGCAAGUUACCUGACCUUACUGUACAGUCAGCUCCCUCAGUAGACAUGUUACUAACAAGAACACAGCCCUGCCGGUAAGCCUAGCACUCAAAGGGCAGAGUAAGAAGGAUCAAGAGUCUGAAGCCAGCCUGGUUUAUAUAAAAUGCCACUAUAUUUCAUCCCCAGACAAACUAAGUCAAACACACAGACUCUAAAGGCUGUGGAGGGGGAUGGAGAGAUGGCUCAGCAGGGCAGCACUCUUACCGCUCUUGCAAUGCUCUUACCUAAGCUCCAUUCCCAACAUUUCACCUCAGAUGGCUCACAAACACCUGCAACUCAGAAACCAUCUGAAACUUCAGCUCUCUGUGGCACCUGCACUCAUCAUGUGCAGUGCACACACAUGUGCAACUCACACACGUGCAUGUGCACACUCAAAGGCAAUAGAAACAAAUCUUUUCUGUAGGUUAAGAAUAGUAGAGAUCAAAUACGCUAUAUGACUACAAUAUUUGUGAUCAGAAAACACACCGCCCACAACCUUGUUUGUGCUGCCGCAUUCCUGCUGUUCCUCCUGGCUGCUUGUCUACAUCAAGCGAAGAGCUCACUGAACUAGGUUCUUGC